AUUGAACGCUGGCGGCAGGCCUAACACAUGCAAGUCGAACGGUAACAGGAAGCAGCUUGCUGCUUCGCUGACGAGUGGCGGACGGGUGAGUAAUGUCUGGGAAACUGCCUGAUGGAGGGGGAUAACUACUGGAAACGGUAGCUAAUACCGCAUAACGUCGCAAGACCAAAGAGGGGGACCUUCGGGCCUCUUGCCAUCGGAUGUGCCCAGAUGGGAUUAGCUAGUAGGUGGGGUAACGGCUCACCUAGGCGACGAUCCCUAGCUGGUCUGAGAGGAUGACCAGCCACACUGGAACUGAGACACGGUCCAGACUCCUACGGGAGGCAGCAGUGGGGAAUAUUGCACAAUGGGCGCAAGCCUGAUGCAGCCAUGCCGCGUGUAUGAAGAAGGCCUUCGGGUUGUAAAGUACUUUCAGCGGGGAGGAAGGGAGUAAAGUUAAUACCUUUGCUCAUUGACGUUACCCGCAGAAGAAGCACCGGCUAACUCCGUGCCAGCCGCCGCCGUAA
rnacentral:rRNA from 1 species